rnacentral:rRNA from 1 species
AGCGGCGGACGGGUGAGUAACGCGUGGGUAACCGCCCUGUACACACGGAUAACAUACCGAAAGGUAUGCUAAUACGAGAUAAUAUGCUUUUAUCGCAUGGUAGAAGUAUCAAAGCUUUUGCGGUACAGGAUGGACCCGCGUCUGAUUAGCUAGUUGGUAAGGUAACGGCUUACCAAGGCGACGAUCAGUAGCCGACCUGAGAGGGUGAUCGGCCACAUUGGAACUGAGACACGGUCCAAACUCCUACGGGAGGCAGCAGUGGGGAAUAUUGCACAAUGGGCGAAAGCCUGAUGCAGCAACGCCGCGUGAGCGAUGAAGGCCUUCGGGUCGUAAAGCUCUGUCCUCAAGGAAGAUAAUGACGGUACUUGAGGAGGAAGCCCCGGCUAACUACGUGCCAGCAGCCGCGGUAAUACGUAGGGGGCUAGCGUUAUCCGGAAUUACUGGGUGUAAAGGGUGCGUAGGUGGUUUCUUAAGUCAGAGGUGAAAGGCUACGGCUCAACCGUAGUAAGCCUUUGAAACUGGGGAACUUGAGUGCAGGAGAGGAGAGUGGAAUUCCUAGUGUAGCGGUGAAAUGCGUAGAUAUUAGGAGGAACACCAGUUGCGAAGGCGGCUCUCUGGACUGUAACUGACACCGAGGCACGAAAGCGUGGGGAGCAAACAGGAUUAGAUACCCUGGUAGUCCACGCCGUAAACGAUGAGUACUAGCUGU